rnacentral:rRNA from 1 species
UUAAUUCGAUGCAACGCGAAAAACCUUACCACUCCUUGACAUGAAGAUUAGAUCCUCCUUAACAGGAGGGCGCAGUUGGGCUGGGUCUUGCACAGGUGCUGCAUGGCUGUCGUCAGCUCGUGUCGUGAGAUGUUGGGUUAAGUCCCGCAACGAGCGUAACCCUCACCCUUAGUUGCCAGCGGGUAAUGCCGGGGACUUUAAGGGAACUGCCAGUGGUAAGCUGGAGGAAGGUGGGGAUGAUGUCAAGUCAGCAUGGCCCUUAUGGGGUGGGCUACACACGUGCUACAAUGGUGACUACAAUAGGUUGCAAUGCCGUAAGGCUGAGCUAAUCCGUCAAAAGUCAUCUUAGUUCGGAUUGUCCUCCGCAACUCGAGGGCAUGAAGUAGGAAUCGCUAGUAAUCGUGGAUCAGCAUGCCACGGUGAAUACGUUCUCGGGUCUUGUACGCACUGCCCGUCACGCCAUGGGAAUUGGCUUAACUCGAAGCUGGUGCGCCAACCGAAAGGAGGCAGCCAUUUAAGGUUGGGUCAGUGACUAGGGUGAAGUCGUAACAAGGUAGCUGUAGGUGAACCUGC